ACCACCCUGGUUCGUUUGAGGUUCUAACCUUGGUCCGUUAUCCGGAUCGGGGACAGUGCAUGGUAGGCAGUUUGACUGGGGCGGUCUCCUCCUAAAGUGUAACGGAGGAGUUCGAAGGUACGCUAGGUACGGUCGGACAUCGUGCUAAUAGUGCAAUGGCAUAAGCGUGCUUAACUGCGAGACCGACAAGUCGAGCAGGUACGAAAGUAGGACAUAGUGAUCCGGUGGUUCUGUAUGGAAGGGCCAUCGCUCAACGGAUAAAAGGUACUCUGGGGAUAACAGGCUGAUUCCUCCCAAGAGUUCAUAUCGACGGGGGAGUUUGGCACCUCGAUGUCGGCUCAUCACAUCCUGGGGCUGUAGCCGGUCCCAAGGGUAUGGCUGUUCGCCAUUUAAAGUGGUACGUGAGCUGGGUUUAAAACGUCGUGAGACAGUUUGGUCCCUAUCUGCCGUGGGCGUUGGAAAUUUGAAGGGGGCUGCUCCUAGUACGAGAGGACCGGAGUGGACGAACCUCUGGUGUACCGGUUGUCACGCCAGUGGCAUUGCCGGGUAGCUAAGUUCGGAAGAGAUAACCGCUGAAAGCAUCUAAGCGGGAAACUUGCCUUGAGAUGAGAUUUCCCGGAGCCUUGAGCUCCUUGAAGGGUCGUUCGAGACCAGGACGUUGAUAGGCUGGGUGUGGAAGUGCAGUAAUGCAUUAAGCUAACCAGUACUAAUUGCCCGUACGGCUUGUCCCU
rnacentral:ncRNA from 1 species